rnacentral:rRNA from 1 species
CCUACGGGGGGCUGCAGUAGGGAAUAUUGCUCAAUGGGGGAAACCCUGAAGCAGCAACGCCGCGUGGAGGAUGAAGGUUUUCGGAUUGUAAACUCCUUUUGUUAGAGAAGAUAAUGACGGUAUCUAACGAAUAAGCACCGGCUAACUCCGUGCCAGCAGCCGCGGGAAUACGGGGGGUGCAAGCGUUACUCGGAAUCACUGGGCGUAAAGAGCGCGUAGGCGGGAUAGCAAGUCAGAUGUGAAAUCCUAUGGCUUAACCAUAGAAUUGCAUUUGAAACUGGUAUUCUAGAGUAUGGGAGAGGUAGGUGGAAUUCUAGGUGUAGGGGUAAAAUCCGUAGAGAUAAAGAGGAAUACUCAUUGCGAAGGCGACCUGCUAGAACAUAACUGACGCUGAUGCGCGAAAGCGUGGGGAGCAAACAGGAUUAGAUACCCGGGUAGUC